ACGAACGCUGGCGGCGUGCUUAACACAUGCACGUCGCACGGAAAGGCCCUGCUUUUGUGGGGUGCUCGAGUGGCGAACGGGUGAGUAACACGUGAGUAACCUGCCCUUGACUUUGGGAUAACUUCAGGAAACUGGGGCUAAUACCGGAUAGGAGCUCCUGCUGCAUGGUGGGGGUUGGAAAGUUUCGGCGGUUGGGGAUGGACUCGCGGCUUAUCAGCUUGUUGGUGGGGUAGUGGCUUACCAAGGCUUUGACGGGUAGCCGGCCUGAGAGGGUGACCGGCCACAUUGGGACUGAGAUACGGCCCAGACUCCUACGGGAGGCAGCAGUGGGGAAUAUUGCACAAUGGGCGGAAGCCUGAUGCAGCAACGCCGCGUGCGGGAUGACGGCCUUCGGGCUGUAAACCGCUUUCGCCUGUGACGAAGCGUGAGUGACGGUAAUGGGUAAAGAAGCACCGGCUAACUACGUG
rnacentral:rRNA from 1 species